GGAUCAAUUUAUUGGUCGUGCCUCUUGGUACGUACUGAUUUUAUUGAUUUCUCCCUUCUGACGAACCAUGAUGUCAUUAAUUUGAUGUCAUGGGAAAUCAGGACUGUUACUUUGAAAAAAUUAGAGUGUUUAAAGCAAGCUCACGCUUGAAUACAUUAGCAUGGAAUAAUGAAAUAGGACGUUUGAUUCUAUUUUGUUGGUUUCUAGGAUUGACGUA
rnacentral:rRNA from 1 species